AGGGGGUCUAUUACGGUUCUCGGAUUGGGUAAAAAUGACAGAAGUGAGCAGCUCACCCAAUCACGGUUGUUUUCACCUCGUGAGAGUGCGAACUGAUUCACGUGAGCAGACUCGACACAAAAUUUUGCGUGAAAAAGUGAAAGUGAGUGAAGCGUAUUGACUGUUCAACGGCCUGGCUCGCUAAAAAUGGAUAAUUUAUUGGUUAUACUGUUUAUGCGCAAUCGAAAUAAUACAAUGUUAAGAAUACGACGUGGAUUACGAGAUGUUUCGAAUCCAUUUGCGAUCCCAGAAAACGAAUUUCGGAGUCUUUACAGGUGAGUGACUGAAAAUUAUCCAGGGAAGCUGUACGAAUUCUCAUCGAUGACCUUCGUCCCUUACUGCCUGCCCCGAGAAGACGUCAUGCAAUUCCUGUUCAAUUACAAGUUUUAAGCGCAUUGAAUUUUAUAGCAUCUGGAUCUUACCAAA